AAAAAGUAUCCACACUCUUCUUCUUCCCUCCUACGCUCAUUGCCCAACCUUCACUCGAGCCUACUUAAAAAAGCAAACCUACAAUAAAGACGUUAAAGAAUUAUACGCCAGAGUUUGUGAAAGAAUAGAAAAUAAAAGGGCGGGUGGUGCACUGAGGAAUAGAAAAAACCCCACGCAGCGACGCCUCGCCUUUCCAUCCACUCCCCAUCAUCCCUCAACCAAUCCUGGGGAAAAAAUAAACUAAAAGCUAAAAGAAUGGACGUCGAACCCUAGCCUCCUCCCUCUCCCUCUCUCUCUCUCUCUCUCUCUCUCUC
rnacentral:lncRNA from 1 species